AGAUAGAAGCAAUGAGGCACACCCCUCAUCUCCUUUUCAUCUGCUUCACCUUAGCCUCUCAAUGGCAAGGUUAAGAGCGACCUUUACCUAUUACAGUGGACUUUCAAAGUCAAACCCUCUUGUGUGAGCCCCCAUUGUUUGGCUAUAGAGUGUGCUGUUUGAUAUUCAUUGAUUGUUUGAUUGCUUCAUAUGCACUUGC
rnacentral:lncRNA from 1 species